rnacentral:rRNA from 1 species
UACGUAGGGUGCAAACGUUAAUCGGAAUUACUGGGCGUAAAGCGUGCGCAGGCGGUUAUGCAAGACAGAUGUGAAAUCCCCGGGCUCAACCUGGGAACUGCAUUUGUGACUGCAUGGCUGGAGUGCGGCAGAGGGGGAUGGAAUUCCGCGUGUAGCAGUGAAAUGCGUAGAUAUGCGGAGGAACACCGAUGGCGAAGGCAAUCCCCUGGGCCUGCACUGACGCUCAUGCACGAAAGCGUGGGGAGCAAACAGG